CCCCUCCCUCCCCUUCCCCGACUGCUGCUACCGAAGCUCGAUCCAGUCGUCGCCACCUCCUCUCCAGCUCUCCUCCCUCCACCUAGCCACCUAACUCCGCGCCGCCCGCCAUGCCGGACCUCGCCGCGAAUGACAACUCGCCCCCGGCGGCGGCCCCGCCGCCGCGCCGCCUCUCGUCGCCGCUUCCCCGCCGGGCGCCGCCGUCCCCAUCCCCGUCCACCUCCUCGCGCACCAAGCCCAGGAAGCCCGCG
rnacentral:lncRNA from 1 species